rnacentral:rRNA from 1 species
UACGGAGGGUGCAAGCGUUAUCCGGAUUCACUGGGUUUAAAGGGUGCGUAGGUGGGCAGGUAAGUCAGUGGUGAAAUCUCCGGGCUUAACCCGGAAACUGCCACUGAUACUAUCUGUCUUGAAUGUUGUGGAGGUGAGCGGAAUAUGUCAUGUAGCGGUGAAAUGCUUAGAUAUGACAUAGAACACCAAUUGCGAAGGCAGCUGGCUACACGAAUAUUGACACUGAUGCACGAAAGCGUGGGGAUCAAACAGG